GUCAGGAUGGCCGAGUGGUCUAAGGCGCCAGACUCAAGGCUUUGCUUUCCCUGUCCGGGGUUUUCUGGUCUCCGAAUGGAGGCGUGGGUUCAAAUCCCACUUCUGACA
rfam:Fulmarus glacialis contig104701, whole genome shotgun sequence.